rnacentral:rRNA from 1 species
UACGGAGGGUGCAAGCGUUAUCCGGAUUCGCUGGGUUUAAAGGGUGCGUAGGUGGGUUGGUAAGUCAGUGGUGAAAUCCCCGAGCUUAACUUGGGAACUGCCAUUGAUACUAUCAGUCUUGAAUACCGUGGAGGUCAGCGGAAUAUGUCAUGUAGCGGUGAAAUGCUUAGAUAUGACAUAGAACACCAAUUGCGAAGGCAGCUGGCUACACGAAUAUUGACACUCAGGCACGAAAGCGUGGGGAUCAAACAGG